rnacentral:tRNA from 1 species
GCGAAGGUGGCGGAAUUGGUAGACGCGCUAGCUUCAGGUGUUAGUGUCCUUACGGACGUGGGGGGUCAAGUCCCCCCCCCCCCCCCCCA